ACGCAGCGACGCCGCGUGAGGGAUGAAGGGCCUUCGGGUUGUAAACCUCUUUCAGCAGGGACGAAGCGAGAGUGACGGUACCUGCAGAAGAAGCACCGGCCAACUACGUGCCAGCAGCCGCGGUAAUACGUAGGGUGCAAGCGUUGUCCGGAAUUAUUGGGCGUAAAGAGCUCGUAGGCGGUCUGUCGCGUCGGCUGUGAAAUCUCGGGGCUCAACCCCGAGCCUGCAGUCGAUACGGGCAGACUAGAGUGCUGUAGGGGAGACUGGAAUUCCUGGUGUAGCGGUGAAAUGCGCAGAUAUCAGGAGGAACACCGGUGGCGAAGGCGGGUCUCUGGGCAGUAACUGACGCUGAGGAGCGAAAGCGUGGGGAGCAAACAGGAUUAGAUACCCUGGUAGUCCACGCCGUAAACGGUGGGUGCUAGGUGUGAGCGGUAUUCCACGCCGUUCGUGCCGCAGCUAACGCAUUAAGCACCCCGCCUGGGGAGUACGGCCGCAAGGCUA
rnacentral:rRNA from 1 species